rfam:Stegodyphus mimosarum contig114769, whole genome shotgun sequence.
GCCUUCGUGGUGUAAUGAUCAGCACACUCGACGCGUAAUUGAGAAAUCCGAGGUUCGAGUCUCGGCGAGGGCA